GCAAGGAAUUAGGGAAGGUUUUGUGGGAAUAGUGGGUUUGAACUUCAAUUCCUAUUCUUGAUAAGAGGAAAGGGAAGGGGCAUGGCAAACAUAGCCAGUGAGCCAGUGAGAGACGAGAGCAUCAAGGACGGGAGAGGAGCAGGAUAUCAGAUGAGGUCCCUGGCUCUGGAGUCAAGCCGGCUCUAGCCUUCACUUUCCAGCCUUCUCCCUGUUUCAACACAGCUGCCCCUCCUUCUGUUUCUCAUCCAAGUUUCAGAUGGGACUCAAUAAAAUAAAACAUCAACAAAGAUGGCUCCUCCCCAAGCUGGCCCAGCAUGAUGGCCCUCAGCAGAUACUCAUCCCAUGCUCAUGUUCUUCCUAGCAUCCUGAAGAAAUCUCUACCAUUUAUGAGCCCCUCAGCUCAAGGGCAUUAUUGGGACCAAAGCAUUGUUAGGACCAAGGCAUGAGACAAUGUGACCGAUGUCAGCAGCAAGCAGGAGGCAGAAUCAAGACUGAACACAACAGCAAAGGCUUGGUUCAUGAUAAACCUUGUGUCUCCCUCCUAGGGACUGAAGGCUUGCCUAA